GAGUAAGACUGUUACCAGACAAAACAAAUCCUGUAGAUCUGAAAAUACUGGACAAAUUAACGGCGAUACACUACAGUGCAGCUUCUUAGAAUAUCCAUAUGCUUCAUUUGAGGAAGACCAGCUCUGCUGUAGUGCACCUUUCACCUGCCCAGCCUGCAUGCCUGAAAUGUUGGCUGUUUCAGCAGAUGGAAAUAGAAAACUAUAUUGCUUUCGCCGAGAGACAAGCUCUGAGGCUCCUGCUUUUUCGAGGGGCUCUUUGUGGCUGAAGACAGUGCUGUCUAGAUUUGACGACACCAUUCUAAAAG